rnacentral:lncRNA from 1 species
AAUUAACAAGCUAUUGCUUAGGCUUUGUUUGGGAUUGCAGCAAGAUUACGUUACGUACGAUGAGAAAGUACGAUAAAAAAAUAUUCUGUUUAUUUCUGUACGUAAUAUUGCGCAUAUUGCGAUGAGUCGGUUAUAAUAUAUUUUCUACGGUCUUAUCAGAGAACGCAGAAGUAUAUUUCGAUAUACUUUUUUUUUAACUCCAUUUUAUCUAACAGCGUCACAUAGAUUUUAAUACCAAACUAAGCCUUAGUGGUACUAGGGCUCAUUUGGCCCUACUUUUAUCUCUGUUUUAGGCCUCUUUUUUAUCAUAUUUAUUUUUUAUUUCGAUAAAUUACAUAAACUUUCGUAUAAAUAUUUAUUUUAAUUUCUUAAAAUUUAUAUUUUAGAUAUAGCAUGCUAAAUCAUUUUUACGAUAUUCGAAAAAUUAUAAUUUUAAUCUUAAAAUUAUGUCUGUUUCUUAUAAUUUUAAUCCGUUAGGGUUCCAUCACUAUUAUGUCUGUUUCUUAUUAUUUAUGCCGAAAAUACCUUCAAAAUAACAUAAAUAUAUUAAAAAAUUAUUUUUUUUAUAAAAAAAAAUAAGAAUAAUUUGGUCAUUUUGCCCUCUUUAUUAAUGCCGUACCCUUUGAAAAUAUAUUUGAAAUUUUAAGAGGGCAAAAUGUAAAUUUUUGAAAGUUAAAGAGGAAAAGUGAAAAAGUAGGUGUUUACAAGAAGUUUUCUGUAUUUUA